rnacentral:rRNA from 1 species
AGAGUUUGAUCCUGGCUCAGAACGAACGCUGGCGGCGCGUUUUAAGCAUGCAAGUCGAACGGUAGCAGAGUGCUUGCACUUUGUGAGAGUGGCGAACGGGUGAGUAACACGUAGGUGAUCUACCUUGUAGUUGGGGAUAGCUCAUGGAAACAUGGGGUAAUACCGAAUAAUUUAUACCAUUUUGCUGGUAUAGGAAAGGGGCGUUUGCCUCGCUAUAAGAUGAGCCUGCGGUAGAUUAGCUAGUUGGUAGGGUAAAGGCCUACCAAGGCGACGAUCUAUAGCCGGCCUGAGAGGGUGAUCGGCCACAUUGGGACUGAGACACGGCCCAGACUCCUACGGGAGGCAGCAGCUAAGAAUCUUCCGCAAUGGACGAAAGUCUGACGGAGCGACGCCGCGUGGACGAAGAAGGCCGAGGGGUUCAAGUCCUUUUAUAUGAGAAGAAUAAGGUUUAGAGGAAAUGCUAGACCGAUGACGGUAUCAUAUGAAUAAGCUCCGGCCAGUUACGUGCCAGCAGCCGCGGUAACACGUAAGGAGCGAGCGUUGUUCGGAAUUAUUGGGCGUAAAGGGCUCUUAGGCGGUUUUUUAAGUCCGGUGUGAAAUCCCACAGCUUAACUGUGGAUCUGCAUUGGAAACUGAAAGACUUGAAUCAAUGAGAGGAAACUGGAAUUCCUAGUGUAGGGGUGAAAUCUGCUGAUAUUAGGAAGAACACCUGAGGCGAAGGCGAGUUUCUGGCAUAUGAUUGACGCUGAUGAGCGAAAGCGUAGGGAGCGAACAGGAUUAGAUACCCUGGUAGUCUACGCUGUAAACGAUGUGCACUUGGUGGUUGGUCGUUAGAUUGGCUGCCGUAGUUAACGCGUUAAGUGCACCGCCUGGGGAGUAUGCUCGCAAGGGUGAAACUCAAAGGAAUUGACGGGGGCCCGCACAAGCGGUGGAGCAUGUGGUUUAAUUCGAUAUACGCGAGAAACCUUACCAGGGCUUGACAUAUACUAGAAUACAUCAGAGAUGAUGUAGCCGCUUGCGGCUGGUAUACAGGUGCUGCAUGGUUGUCGUCAGCUCGUGCCGUGAGGUGUUGGGUUAAGUCCCGCAACGAGCGCAACCCCUAUCGUAUGUUACCAUCAUUUAGUUGGGGACUCAUGCGAGACUGCCGGUGACAAACCGGAGGAAGGUGGGGAUGACGUCAAAUCAUCAUGGCCCUUAUGUCCUGGGCUACACACGUGCUACAAUGGCAGGUACAGAGCGAAGCGAAGCAGCGAUGUUGAGCGAACCGCAGAAGCUUGCCUCAGUUCGGAUUGGAGUCUGAAACUCGACUCCAUGAAGUUGGAAUCGCUAGUAAUCGCGCAUCAGCAUGGCGCGGUGAAUACGUUCCCGGGCCUUGUACACACCGCCCGUCACACCACCCGAGUUGGGGGUACCCAAAGUCAUUUGUCUAACCUGUAAAGGAGGACGGUGCCUAAGGUACGUUUGGCAAGGGGGGUGAAGUCGAACAAGGUA